rnacentral:rRNA from 1 species
GACGAACGCUGGCGGCGUGCCUAAUACAUGCAAGUCGAACGCAGUGGGGACGGGUGAGUAACACGUGGGUAACCUCCCAUCAGAGGGGAUAACACUUGGAAACAGGUGCUAAACCGAUACUGAUGGAUGAACCCGCGGUGCAUUAGCUAGUUGGUGCGGUAACGGCUCACCAAGGCCACGAUGCAUAGGUGACCGGAAAGGGGGAGCGGCCACACUGGGAUUAAGACACGGCACAGAAUCCUACGGGAGGCAGCAGUAGGGAAUCUUGGGAAAUGGACGAAAGUCUGACCGAGCAACGCCGAGUGAGUGAAGAAGGUUUUCGGAUCGUAAAACUCUGGUGUUAGAGAAGCGGUAUCUAACCAGAAAGCCACGGAUAACUACGUGCCAGCAGCAGCGGUAAGAC